rnacentral:pre_miRNA from 1 species
AUUCUACUCCCUCCGUUGCACAAUACAUGCCUUCUAUUUGUCAAAAUAUAUAUGUAUCUAGACAUGUCUUAGUAUAUAGGUACAUCCAUUUUNAUAUAUAUGUAUCUAGACAUGUCUUAGUAUAUAGGUACAUCCAUUUUUGGACAAAUGGAAGUCAAGUAUUUUGGAACGGAGGGAGUACACA